GACGAACGCUGGCGGCGUGCCUAAUACAUGCAAGUCGAGCGCAGGAAGCUGACGGAACUCUUCGGAGGGAAGGCAGUGGAAUGAGCGGCGGACGGGAGAGUAACACGUAAGGAACCUGCCUCAAGGAUUGGGAUAACUCCGAGAAAUCGGAGCUAAUACCGGAUCGUUAAACGGACCGCAUGGUCCGCUGAUGAACGGCGCUCUGGGGUCACCUUGAGAUGGCAUUGCGGUGCAUUAGCUAGUUGGUGGGGUAACGGCCCACCAAGGCGACGAUGCAUAGCCGACCUGAGAGGGUGAUCGGCCACACUGGGACUGAGACACGGCCCAGACUCCUACGGGAGGCAGCAGUAGGGAAUCUUCCACAAUGGACGAAAGUCUGAUGGAGCAACGCCGCGUGAGUGAUGAAGGUUUUCGGAUCGUAAAACUCUGUUGUAAGGGAAGAACACGUACGAGAGGAAAUGCUCGUACCUUGACGGUACCUUACGAGAAAGCCACGGCUAACUACGUGCCAGCCGCCGCGGUAAAAC
rnacentral:rRNA from 1 species